rnacentral:rRNA from 1 species
UACAGAGGUCUCAAGCGUUGUUCGGAUUCAUUGGGCGUAAAGGGUGUGUAGGUGGCGCCGUAAGUCGGGGUGUGAAAUUUCGGAGCUUAACUCCGAAACUGCAUUCGAUACUGCGGUGCUUGAGGACUGGAGAGGAGACUGGAAUUUACGGUGUAGCGGUGAAAUGCGUAGAUAUCGUAAGGAAGACCAGUGGCGAAGGCGGGUCUCUGGACAGUUCCUGACGCUGAAGCACGAAGGCCAGGGGAGCAAACGGG